rnacentral:lncRNA from 1 species
CACCAUCUGUCCGCGAUUCUAAGACGCCUCCAGCCCUCACAAGAGCAGAUCUCCUCUGCAAGCUGCCUGAGAAAAAAAGGAAGGAAAAAACCUGAAACCAAGAACUCAUCCAGCCGCCAGUACCUACCAUCAUCCCCAAACAGAAGUUUUUCAGGGCUCAGGUCUGGCUGCCCUGCAUUCCAGGCUUUUCCAGGCUUUUCCGACCUGGCUUCCCCACCCCAGGCGAUGCUGAUCGGGGAAAGACCAUGGCCUUCGAUGAUUGCAGACUUCGCCGUCACAGCCCAGAGGAAAGAAGUUUCCUUUUGUCAGCAUCUAUAUACACAGGUCUCUGGGGGAAUCUCAUUUGCUUUUCUUGGUGUGCAUGCCCAGACCUUGGACCCGUGGCCAUGACCAGGGUUGAUGGUUAUGGUGAUUGACAGGUCCAGUGUAAUUACAGGCACUUGGGGACCCAGCAGCUCACCAAAGAGAUGGGAGGCAUUUUACCACUCACUCAUCCAUGUACUCAUUGAAUGCUGACCACUUGUCUGCUCUGGGCCAGGCCCUGUUCUGAGUCUUGGAGUUACAGUGGUGGCAAGAAAUAAGAGUUCUCUGCCCUCAUGGAGGUUCCAUCCUGCUGAUAGUAAGGAGGAGUCACGCAGCAUCCAAAUAAUGAAAGAAAACAUUGGCUGUGCUAAGUUCUGUAUUUAGCAUAAAGUAAGGCGAUACUGGGAGGGUGACCCAGGAGUGGUCAGAAAAGGCAUCUCUGAGUAGGGCGUCUGGAAGCUGAGACCGACAUGCCAAGAAAAAGCCACCAUUCAUAGAUCUAUAGGAAGAGCAUUCUGGGCGGAUAGAGCAGCUGACUCUGUGUGUUAGAGAACAAGAGAGAUGGGAAGUGUGGCUGGAGCUCACUAAGUGAGGGAGAAGGGUAGAUGCAUCCAGGUUGGAUGGAGAGAUGGCCAGGGAGGGGUCACUGCUGAUCUUGAGAAGCAGAUGUGGUCCAAAGAUGUUUCUGGCUGCUGUGAAGGGAGGCAGGAGUGAAGACGGGAGAGGAGGCAGGAGGCUGCUACAGGUGAGGG